rnacentral:misc_RNA from 1 species
AUCAUGCAUUGCGGCUGGACAAGUUUACUAUCACACCAUUCAACUAAAUAUAUGAUAGGGAAUUUUGACUUGUAAUUUGAAAUCAAGUUCCUAUCACCAUUCUUUUCUCGCCCUAUUUUCAGGGAAAGUGAGAGACCAUAUCUUCCCAGGAGAACUCCCCUAUAUUUGUAUAAGAAUAUGAAAAUUCCCAAUUACUUCUCUUGUAUUACAAAAGGCUGGCUCCAAGAUAAGUGAAUAACAAUAUAAUUGUUGUUUUAUAUUUGAAAGACUUGUAAGCAAACAGAACACCUUCAGAACAAUGCCAACAGGAA